CAUGUCACUGCAUGCAUCUGUGAGAACGUGUGGGAAGUGGCCAGGGUUCCAGCGACAAUGCUGACCUCAUCUGGCGACAGAGCAGGCCGCUUGCUGCACGGGCCCCGAGGGGGAAUGAAGAAGAGAAGUCCUGAAGAGUGGUCCCCGUUUCCCAUUGUUGCCGCCCGGGUGCCACUACACCGCAUGGCCGGUUUCCAGCUCUCCUGUUGCUUGCGGCUCAGUGCUGAUGGCAGGGGUUCUCCGGGCCGUCCGUGGUGCUGCCUCAAGAAACAGCCCUGGGUGGUGGGAGAGCCAUGGGUCAAGGUGCCAGAGGUGGCCUCGGUGGGCUCCAUCCCAGGAAGACCCGGGUGCACGGCAGGUGACAGGUGCUCAGAGACCACACCGGGGUCUGUACCGCCAGCUUCCCUGGUGAGUUUUUCUCUCUCUAUCAGACAAAGCAGCCUUUCCCUUCAGUCCCAUCUCGCAUUGCGGCGUCCCCAAAAACCGUCACAUUCUUCCCCAGUUCUCAGCCCUGACUCUUCGCCACUCAUUGUAUAUUCUUUUGGUCUUUUUGGUGGGGAUUCCAAGGGUUUAUUUAACCCAGCAAUCAAAUCGGUCGUUUAAAAUAAUAGCCCGUCUUGUCCAAGUCUAAAAAUAAAAUCUCCCGGUAUGGGGAAGGCCGGCGGGGA
rnacentral:lncRNA from 1 species